rnacentral:rRNA from 1 species
GAUGAACGCUGGCGGCGUGCCUAAUACAUGCAAGUCGAGCGAACAGAUGAGAAGCUUGCUUCUCUGAUGUUAGCGUCGGACGGGUGAGUAACACGUGGGUAACCUACCUAUAAGACUGGGAUAACUCCGGGAAACCGGGGCUAAUACCGGAUAAUAUUUUGAACCGCAUGGUUCAAUAGUGAAAGACGGUUUCGGCUGUCACUUAUAGAUGGACCCGCGCCGUAUUAGCUAGUUGGUAAGGUAACGGCUUACCAAGGCGACGAUACGUAGCCGACCUGAGAGGGUGAUCGGCCACACAGGAACUGAGACACGGUCCAGACUCCUACGGGAGGCAGCAGUAGGGAAUCUUCCGCAAUGGGCGAAAGCCUGACGGAGCAACGCCGCGUGAGUGAUGAAGGUCUUCGGAUCGUAAAACUCUGUUGUUAGGGAAGAACAAAUUUGUUAGUAACUGAACAAGUCUUGACGGUACCUAACCAGAAAGCCACGGCUAACUACGUGCCAGCCGCCGCGGUAA